UAUCCCUAUGAAGAUUUAAUUCCAAAAAUGGAUUAAAAGUAGUGGACUGAUUUAUUUCCAUUGAAGAAUAUUCAUUUCCGAGGGAUA
rfam:Corchorus capsularis cultivar CVL-1 contig10307, whole genome shotgun sequence.